rnacentral:rRNA from 1 species
AGGAUGAACGCUGGCGGCGUGCUUAACACAUGCAAGUCGAACGGUAAGGCCCCUUCGGGGGUACACGAGUGGCGAACGGGUGAGUAACACGUGAGCAACCUGCCCUUGACUCUGGAAUAACAGCUGGAAACAGCUGCUAAUACUGGAUACGACCUCCGGCGACAUCGCCUGGAGGUGGAAAGCUCCGGCGGUCAAGGAUGGGCUCGCGGCCUAUCAGCUUGUUGGUGAGGUAACGGCUCACCAAGGCUUCGACGGGUA